AGAAUAAUCCCGGAAAGAGCGGGGGGGGGGGGGCUUUUGUCAAUAUCCCUGCAAAACUGCAAUCCGAUUUACUUGGGGAGCAAACCCGGAGAGGUUUCUAGAGGCUCCAUCGGUGCCAUCUGUUUUUUCAAUGCCACAAAAGCGAUAAUGCCGAAUCAUCAUUAGUUGCGGAACACUUAAAGACGGAUUGUAACACAUUUUUUAAAAAAAUCUGGACAGAACCUGGGUUUUCGCUACAAAGUAUGUUUCCAGUUGUUGCUUAUAGGCGAAAACAUUCCUAAAGAGCGGCCAAUCUGUAUCUCUUCUUAGGGGAAGAGGGUGUUACAAACAUAGAGCGCAGCAUCAGAGCGGCAGACGCGUUUUGGACGGGGAAGAAGUGGAUUGUGGACUAUGGACAGCGGCGUGGGGGGAAAAUAAGAAGUGACCGCGCACUGUGACAAGUAAAGACCAGGAGGGAAAUACGUACUAGUAUCCCAUGAAGUCGAACACCCCGCAUGGAGUUGUCGAUACCUCUCAGAUCAAUGUGACAUGCAGAAUCAAAUGACCUAGAAAAAUGUUUUUCACAUCAUAGAUAAAAGCACCUCUGGAGUUCAGACUAGAGAGAUCCGCCUCCGUGUCAGUCCAAUCCUGCAGUAAUAUGUUAACAUGUUAUAGACUCUCGACUAGUUCGAUUAUUUUUCCUCGAGCACUUAAGGUUGGUGCCGAAGAGGGGCAACUAAAGAAGGGAGCUGGAAACAGGAAAGAAGCCUCAACAAAUCCAGUCACAAACGGCAAGGCUGCUUCUACUUUUGGAUGCACAUGGGGCUUGCAUGUUUGAGUGCAUCUCCGCUGGAAAUACAAGUUCUCUACAAAAAACAAGGAGUGAAUGGAGCGUACUGUAUUGGUAGUGUAUUGAGAGAAAUAUGAUACACCGCCAAAAAGGUCCUUUGAAACCCUGCUUUGCUUUUCAUCCAAAAGUCUUGCAGAUGGCAGUGCGUUUAUUGAUUUGAUUUAUCUCCUGCCCGUUUCUCUUUUAAAGAACUCGAAGCGGCUUGCAUCAUUCUCGUCCUUCUGCUCUCAAUCUCACCCCCACAGCAACAACCUUGUGAGGGAGGUUGGGCUGAGAGAUGGUGACUGGCCCAAAGUCACCCAGUUGGCUCCAAGGCUGAGCAGGGACUAGGACCCCAAUUACCCGAGUCCCAGACGCUGCGCUCGUAACCACUACACCACACUGGCUCUCUGCUAAUUACGCUGUCUCACGGGAAUCAAGGAGAGCCAUGAAGCCCAUUCCUAACUAAAUGGCCACAUGAGACUGUGACAAAGAGACAGAGCAUGAGAACCAGAGUCAUCCCAUUGCUAGAGGGUACACAUCCUUCAGUGUGAGGAGAGGACUGAAAAACAUUAACCUUUCUGCAAUGAAAAGCCCUACCCCAAGCACCAACAAAACACUUAUGAAUGUACUCAAGCAUUCAUUUUGCCUUCUUUGUGAAUGUGUAUAUUCCAUGGAAAUGGACUCUCCAAGUUGAUUCCUUUUAAUAAGAUCUGCUUUGUUGGAUUUUAAAUCAGGGAUAUACAAUAUAUGGAGUUCCAAACCGUCACAGCUGAAAGCCUCUGUAAGAAUUCAGAACAUGUCAGAUUGCCCUAAAAGCACAUUAGCUGAAAAAAUGUAACAGCUUAGAGGACAUAAUAGCAUUUUUCUGUUUUUAGAGCUUGUCUUUUUUAAAAAAAACAACAACAACAGCUCAGGCUUUGAAAAAUAUCCUACUACUAAUGUGCCUUUAAUAGCUCAGAAAGCGAGUUUCUGACUCUAACUUGCAGAACUGUAUCCGGCUUCUGCACAAGGAACAACAUGUAGUGGUACUUAGCACAGCAAAACAGCAACUGUCAAGAGCUAUUCUGAGUGGAGGAAAUGGAGGAAUGGUCUUUGAUGGACUCUGUUGCUCUAAAUACAUUGCAAAUCUUCUAAAUGCAGUCUGCUGUACAUAUGAGAGCAUUAUUCACAAACAUAUAGCCUUCGCCCUGUUGGAAGGGCAUACCAUAUUAUCGUUGCAGUAAUGAGAUGCCUUCCUCGAGUAAUUCCUCCCUCUUGAUAUGUCCAAAAACUUAUUUUGUUAACCAGAAACACAAAUGAGUUAGACCUUGUUCACAUGGGAACUCUAAGAAGAGCCUCGAUGCAACUAGAAACCUCUGGCUAGCUGAGCUGCUAUCCCUGUUGCUUGUUCUCUCAUUCACACUCCGGCAACAUAAGGAUUCUUCUUGCAGCAACACAGAGGAAUUAAGAACCCCCCGAAUCCAAAAUUGUUUGCACCUCUGCACCUCUUUGGAAGAAGCAUCAUAUGAGUCUUUAUUUGUUCCUUCUCUCAUCCUACAA